AUUGAACGCUGGCGGCAUGCUCUACACAUGCAAGUCGAACGGUAACAGGCCGCAAGGUGCCGACGAGUGGCGAACGGGUGAGUAAUGCAUCGGAACGUGCCCAGUCGUGGGGGAUAACUACUCGAAAGAGUAGCUAAUACCGCAUACGAUCUAUGGAUGAAAGCGGGGGACCGUAAGGCCUCGCGCGAUUGGAGCGGCCGAUGUCAGAUUAGGUAGUUGGUGGGGUAAAGGCUCACCAAGCCAACGAUCUGUAGCUGGUCUGAGAGGACGACCAGCCACACUGGGACUGAGACACGGCCCAGACUCCUACGGGAGGCAGCAGUGGGGAAUUUUGGACAAUGGGCGCAAGCCUGAUCCAGCAAUGCCGCGUGCAGGAAGAAGGCCUUCGGGUUGUAAACUGCUUUUGUACGGAACGAAACGGCUCUGGUUAAUACCCGGGGCUAAUGACGGUACCGUAAGAAUAAGCACCGGCUAACUACGUG
rnacentral:rRNA from 1 species